UUAUGUUAAGAACAACACUGCAGGGCAAACCUGGAUACUCAAAGGUCGGAUCCAGUUGAAAGGCAAAUCCUGGGUGUUAAGACAUAAAUAUGAAAUGUUAAUUAAAACACUUUAAGUGAAAUGAUCCUCCAGCAGUUGAGGUGAUCUAGUUGCAUAGUACCUGGAACACAGGUUCCUAGGCAGGGGGACACCCUUGCAUUCGGAUAGAGCUCUAAGCCGCAGUUGGGAAUAUGCAAAAG
rnacentral:lncRNA from 1 species